CUUUAAUUACCCCGUCUUGAAACACGGACCAAGGAGUCUAACAUAUGCGCGAGUCUUAGGGUGUCAAACCACUGAGGCGGAAUGAAAGUGAAAGGUGAGACUGGAAUUCAACCGCCAGGCAUCAUCGACCGAUCUGGAUAUUCUUUGAAAGAUUUGAGUUAGAGCGUAUCUGUUGGGACCCGAAAGAUGGUGAACUAUGCCUGAAUAGGGUGAAGUCAGAGGAAACUCUGAUGGAAGCUUGUAGCGGUUCUGACGUGCAAAUCGAUCGUCAAAUUUGGGUAU
rnacentral:rRNA from 1 species